rnacentral:rRNA from 1 species
GAACGGGCUGGAAUCUCUCGGGGUUACAGCCUUGCUGAAUUAUUCACCCUUGUCUUUUGCGUACUUCUUGUUUCCUUGGUGGGUUCGCCCACCACUAGGACAAACAUAAACCUUUUGUAAUUGCAAUCAGCGUCAGUAACAAAUUAAUAAUUACAACUUUCAACAACGGAUCUCUUGGUUCUGGCAUCGAUGAAGAACGCAGCGAAAUGCGAUAAGUAGUGUGAAUUGCAGAAUUCAGUGAAUCAUCGAAUCUUUGAACGCACAUUGCGCCCUUUGGUAUUCCAAAGGGCAUGCCUGUUCGAGCGUCAUUUGUACCCUCAAGCUUUGCUUGGUGUUGGGCGUCUUGUCUCUAGCUUUGCUGGAGACUCGCCUUAAAGUAAUUGGCAGCCGGCCUACUGGUUUCGGAGCGCAGCACAAGUCGCACUCUCUAUCAGCAAAGGUCUAGCAUCCAUUAAGCCUUUUUUUCAACUUUUGACCUCGGAUCAGUUC